rnacentral:tRNA from 1 species
GCCUUGUUAGUUAAGUGGUAUAACAGCUCACUCGUAACGAGCAGUCCGGUGUCCGAUUCACCGACGAGGCACCA